rnacentral:lncRNA from 1 species
UAAACCUAGAAACCACAAGAACGAUGCCUACCCGUACCAUUCAUCAUCUUCUUCACUGAGCCAACCUCAACUCGCCUGAAACUCAGGCGAGUUCACUCAAAUGGGCCCCUCCUCUCCAUGUCACUUUAUUCCAAUGGAUUUCUGUCAGAGAAGAAAGAACAUUCCUCCCAAAUUUGCACGAUUUAUGUACUAUGGAGCGAUUUGCUAGAUGAAUGCGAGCCGUGGAUGGAUGUAAAUAGAUCCAUGCCUUCAAUUUGUCCCUAAAAUCGUUCAAAAACGAGGGGAUUUUUCAGAUUUUGGGCAGAAGCUUCGGAAUUUUUGAGGGUUAUAUACAAGGUGAGUUUUCUUGUUUAAGGGGUAGAAAAAAAAAUCAGAGAAAGAUCUAAGAAUUUUUUUUCGAAAUCUGAGGAGAGUAAAAUUUUCUAAGGUUCUUGAAGUUGUCACUUUCUUCAGGCCGUUUCUUUUCAGUUUGCUUCUCUUUAGAAAAAUACAAAAAAGUACAAAUGGUCCGAGUUCAUUUUCAUUCGAGUUUACUUCAUUUCAAGAGAAAAUUUCAAAAAAAAAAAAGAAUCACUAAAACAGAUUUUUUAGCAUUUAUUCUUUCUCUUGAUUUCUGGUUCUCAAAAGGAAGCUUGAUUUAAAGUUUAAGUUAGAGUUGAGUUUGGGGUUCGAAAUUUUAGCGUUGAUUUGGUUCAAGUUGGUCGAUUCCUAUUGUCUUGUUGCUGUUCGUUUCAAGGUUUGAGUCGCGGCUUUGUUCGAGUCAGUUUAAAUUGUUGUAAUCACUGAAGUUUCGUUAAUUGAAAGCCCUAAUUUCAGGUUCAUCUCUUCACUCUUUCUUAAUUUGUUCUGGUAUUGAUCAAAAUGUGAUGAUGCUUGAGACUUUGUUAGAUUAGUAGUGUUUAUGAGUUGGUUCAUGAGAAAUCAGCCUGUGAUACAAUUUUUCUUAACUUCUGUCUUCUUCUUUUUCUUUCUGUUGGUUAAUCCCUUAAAAGGGUCAGCACAAAAUUGUAUAGUAAUGACUUGUUUGUCGGUGUUGAAGCGUGAGGGCAACCAUCCGAAAAUGGUUUAAACAAAUUUAGAAACUCGGGUUGGUGUUUUAAUAUUUUUACAGAGUUGAAGAGUUUGAAUUCAAUUCAAUCAAAUGUGCCUUAAUGCCAAACAAAUUCGUGUAUAGUCCAUGUGUACAACACUGUAUAGCAGCUGCUCUAAGUUUGAUUUUGGACAUUCUUGAACCCUUUGUAUUAUGCUUUGUUGAAUGAUUAAGAAUUGAUUGAAUUUCCUCCUAACUAUUUCAUGUUGACCAAAGUUAGAACUUCUGUUGCUUUAAUGGGUUAUGAAUGUGUAUUUAGAUUUUAAUUUGGAUAAAAUAGUGAAAUAACUUAUGAUGAUAUGCAAUGAACUACCUUGAUAUUUGUUUCCAGUUAAGGAUUGGGUUUAACCUUAGUUAAUCAGCCUUAAUUUUGUUUGUUUUCAUCUUGUUUUCCGUAAAGCCAAGUUGUUUUCUUUGAUGAAUCAAGUGAUUAAGUCCGAUAUGACACGUUAAUUGGAUCAUGAAUUUUAGAUUGUUAAAGUCAGUCUAUCCUAUAUCAUUGUUUUGAGUUGCUCAUAUGGUUUGGUAGGCAGAAGCGUUUUGUUUUUCUAAAUAUGGUUUUGGGAUCACGGAUGAGACCAUUAUAAUUGUUUGAUUUAAUGUACAUUGGGCUUGGAAAGCAUGUAAAGCUCCCGUAUGGAGGCCUUUAUCUGUUUUGAUUUUCUGUACAAACUCUAGUUUUGGGCCUUCUUAAAGUGGGAUAGAUAAGCCCAGAUGUGGGCAAACAAGACCAAACUGGUUUUUUCCUUCUCCUUUUCUUUUCUUUUCCAAACUAAAUCGCUGCAUGAAUCAAAGCUUAGCCCGUUAGACGUGAAUUUAGUUUGCAUUUAGUUUAGUCUUUAUUAAUGAAUCAGUUUUAAUCCCAAUAUUAUAAUUCCUGACCUUGCAAUAAUCUUAAACUUAGAGAGGAAUAAUCAUGAAACAAUCGUAGUUUGCUUUUACGCACGCGAUUAAACUAUUUCAACUACGGGUACAACUCUCGUGACGUGGUUGUGAUGCCUAAUUUUAAAUUAGAUUUAAGUAGGAGCAUCUUUAGUUUGCCUUAGUGAAAUAUAAAUCUUUUCUUUUAAAAUAAAUUGAGGUGUGCCAUCCAAUCACCUAGUCUAUGACCCUCAAAUAGAUAUCUUAACUAAUGUAGAAAAUGCCUUGAACUCUCAUAGUUUACUUUAGGCGUGUUUAAUUAAAUAAAUUAUCAUAGCUACAAGUAUGGUUCCCGUGGCAUAGCUAUGAUACCUAAUUUCCAAAUUCGGGGUUACAUUUAUGUGACCCGGCCACAACUUUCAAUAACUUUAAUAAAUUAAACAUGUUGUAGAUCGUGGGUAUAGUUCCCGUGACAUGAUUCACAAUGUGUAUCAAACAAACAAGUGCAUGACAAUCAUGACUUGUUCCAGAAUAAUUCCAUAAAAUAAUUUAAAAGCGGUUAUAAAGUUAAAAAUGCACAAUAGGUUUAAAACAUGUAGUAAAUCAGAUAAUAAGCGAAUUAUUAAUAGUUUAAGAGACCGUGCUAGAACCACGGAAUCCAGGAAUGCCUAACACCUUCUCGUGGGUUAACAGAAUUCCUUAUCUAGAAUUUCUGGUUCGUAGGCUUAUAAAGUAAGUCGAAAUUUCCUCGAUUUGGGAUUUUAAAAUAAAUCGGUGACUUGGGAUACCAAAUAAACUAUUCCAAGUGGUGAUUCUGAUAAAUUAAUUAAUCCCAUAUUCGAUUUAUGUCACUUUAAUUGAAAAAACUCCCAUAUACCCUCGGGUGGUAAAAAUGAGGCGUGACUCUAGCGACUCUGCUGGGGAUAGUAACCCAUAACUUUUGGUUCAGGGUUCAAGAAUUCGAGCUUAGAAUAACUGUUAUAAUUGGCUUUUAUUUAUUAUCUAAUUUUAUUACAUGUUUGGGCCUAAUUGCUAAAUGUCGAUUUUUACCGCUUUGAUAUUAUUUGAACUGUAUAAACUAUUACGAGACCCUUCUCUUCUCAUCUUCGGGGAUGUUAACGCUGGUGUGACUCCUCUUUCUGUUAGUGUCAUACCUUGAAUAAGAAAGAGGCUCGGACAAGUCACAAAGGCGGAUGACCUUUUGGUUCCCGGUACGUAGCCCCCCCGACUCGAGUUGUCUGCUCGGGUACACCAAGUCUAGAACAAUACACCCAGGUUUUUAAACUUAGAAUAACUCAACCUCAUGCCGGAUCCCUAGUAGGAACGCAUGUUUGCAUCAUGUGCAUUUGACUUUGGGGACUCAACACAGGGGUUGGGGUCCGUCUAGGACAGGUGGAUCCCAGAAUCAAAAGACCAUCCUGACGCAUUCUUACGUGCUAUUUGUACAAUUAUUUGCUUCGAUUUGCAUGUUGACCAGUUGCUAGAGUAGGAAGGAAAUUGGAAAAAAUAAUUGAGGUAUGAGAGAGAUAAUUACCCGCCUUUGAAAAAACCUGUUGUCCAAAGUAUACCGAAACUCUGCCAAAAUUUUGAAAAGAAAGAGAAAAGGAAAAAGGAAAAUUAUUUCAAAAAAAAAGGAAAAAAAAGUAUUUCAUAUUUUUCAUUAUGUCAAAACUGACCGAACUACUCAAGUUUGAUUCUCACCGGAUGUGGGAUACGUAGGCAACCCUCACAGGAUCUAACUCUAUUUUUGCAAAAAUAACCCAAAAAAUGAAAUGUUGUUAUUUUAUAAAUAAAAUUAGGUAAUGUCGUUCUUGUCUAAAUAGCCCAAAAUGUCCCCAAAAGGACAUCAGAAGGCUGUUUUUGCAAGAAUAACCACCUAUUGCCCUUUUUCAAAAUUUUGGCUACCUAGCAAGCACAACCCUAAAAUCUUCUUUUGCAAAGUGCUGAAGGGCCGUAUUUGCAAAAGUAACCGCGUUAUUUAAGUUUUUGCAAAAUUUUCCUCGCUUUGUUUUAAACCAAUCACCUUAAUUUUAAUGUGCAGAAUGAGCACGAGUCAAAACUUGCCAAUGAAGGUCAUGGCCAAGAUUCCUUUGGAAAUGUAUAUGUGGUGGAAAGAUCUAGGUAAAUCAGGACGAGAUGUGGUCAACCAUUACUUGGGGGUUCUCACCGGGUUAUUGAAGAUGAAACCUAGAGGAGACAUAAUAAAAGCCUUGGUUACAUUUUGGGAUCCCGCCCACAACGUGUUUUAUUUCUCGGACUUUGAACUCACGCCCACUUUGGAAGAGAUGGCUGGGUAUAUCGGUAGUACUGAAGCUCUGAGAGACAAAUACUUGGUCGCUCCAAGAGCUGUCACUCCGCAUAAGUUUCUAGAUUUGCUAAAGAUAAGCAGGGGAGUCCAAUACCCAGAUUUAGCAGCUGGGAUUUCCACUCCACAGUUCAUAUACCAGCGAUACAGACACAUAGGGGAGUUCAACAAUCCAGAAAGCAAAAUUUGCAGCAAAGGGAAUCGACUUAAAUGGGAAAAACAUAGAUGCUUCGCUUUCAUGGUGGUAUUUUUGGGUCUUUUAGUAAUCCCCAAGAAGGAUGGGAGUAUCGAUGUACGGAUAGUCGGGGUCGUCAACACUUUGCUUACUCAGGCCAAAAGCAUCCUCGCACCCAUGAUAGUAUCUGAAAUAUUCCGAGCUCUCACAGCCUGCAAAGCCGGAAUAGACUUUUUUGAAGGGUGCAACUUGUUGCUACAAAUGUAGAUGAUUGAGCAUCUAUGUCAUCAUCCUCAGUACAUGAACUAUGGGUCGAUAGGAGAAAGCUGCAUAGAGGAGUUUUAUACAAGGGUUGAUGGGUUCAACAUGCCAGAAGGGGUCGCAGAAUGGAUAUCUUGCCUCCGCUCUGUCACUGCAAAUCAAAUAGAAUGGACGUUGGGUUGGCUUCCUGUUGAUGAAAUCAUAUACAUGCCAGCCACCGGUCCCCACUUCCUCUUGAUGGGUCUCAGAAGCAUCCAGCCUUAUGCCCCAUACCGGGUUUUGAGAUAGCUAGGAAGAUGUCAAAUAGUGCCUAAGGAUGAAGACCUUAGCCUUCAUGUGGUCGAGAUCCGUUCUGAUGGCCAGUUUCACGAAACAGUGGUUCGCCAGAUUUGGAGUGAGUGCCAAUAUUUGAUGGCAAAUACACGAGUACGUGAUCUGUCCAGAGGUAAGUGUCACCCAUUUACCUCGCUUGGUACAAAAGGAAAGUUGAGUUUGGAAGGCCAGCUAAAAGACCCCACCUCCAGGAGUUUGUUGAAGCGCCACAAGAACAAUGGGAGUGGUUGACAAAAGAAAAUGAAUACCGGGCCACCAUAAGCAGGUUAGAAGGGCAGAUCCGAAACCUUACGUUUGAUAGUGAUGUGCAAGCUACUGCAGAUGAGGGUGAGAAGAAAAAAUUAGCCCAAGAAAAUGAAGUCCUCCCGGCCCAGAUCCAAAGGAUGAAGGUAGCUACUGAGAAUCCGGAAAGAAUCCGAGCAGAUGAAAGACUCAUUAAUGGUCUCAAGAAGAAAAUAUGUGAGUACGGGGAUGAUUUAGAAAAAUCCGAAGGCAGUUUACAAGAGCUCGGGCACAAUUGGCAAAGAACGCCGAGGGACGGGCAGAGUUUGUUCGAAAACUAAAAAGGAAAUACGAUGGAAAAGUCACAAACUUGAAGAAAAAGCUAACCACCCUCGAGAGCGAGAUGGCCAAACAAGCCAAGAGCUUCAAAGCCGAGAGAGAACAUUGAUACAUUUUGAUGGCACAACUAAAGGGAAACCUACAACAUUUGCAAGAACAGAAUCAUACUGCCACUUAGCUCUUGGAGGCUAGAUCUCAGCAAAUUGGGUGGUUGUUGCAAGAGAAGGGCAUCAUCAGGGAAAGGGUUAGAAGAAUCACCGACUACGUUGUGAUGAAAUGCAACGAGUGUGAGGACAUGACCAGGUCCAUGUUCUUCGCCACGGUCAUGAUCUUUGUUUACCAGAUAAUGGAUGAUCUCUAUCGCCUCCAGGAUGACAUGGCGCAUAGGCCUGCAACAAGACCAAUUGGUGUUCCUAGACCAGGAUUGGAGGCAUUGAUGUACUCCUGAUUGUUUUCUCUUUUUUGAGUCUGUAUUUUCAUUCCUAAAAGUCUAUUUCGAGUCUGUUUUUAGUUUUCAAUUCUCGAGUAUGUAGGAUCGAGUCUUUGUAAUAGAGAAAAAUUAAAGGUUUUGUUUUAAUGAAAAUUUGAAAAACUAAAAUUGUUUUAUUUAUUGAACUACGUGAUAAUCUGAUUCACACGACGUCGUGAUACGUAGACAAUACUCAUCGGAUCCGGUCAUGAUUUUUUAAAUAACUCAAAUAAAAGAGGAAUGUGGAAAAGAGAAAACCAAAAGAAAAGAGAGAAAAAAAGGAAAAGAGAAUGAGAACAAGAGAAAAAAUGAGAGUGCAAAAGAGAGCAAGAGAGAAGAUCAGGGAGAUAAACAAAGCUGGGAUGAGACAUGCAAUCGUUGUAAAAUAUGUGGAAACACAUUUAACUGUAUACGUGCAUCACACCCCCAAUGUACGAUUUCCUAUGUGUUAAUUGCUUCAAACUAACCGGUUUGUUGUCUACUGUUGAGUAUAGGUUCUGUUUUUAAGGUGGUUGGUUUGUGGUAACCUGGCUUCAAGCCCGUAUUUUACAAGAUCCAAAGGCAGUGUAGAUAUGUUGUCAGAAGGUCAUCCACCAACAAUUCCCAUCUCAGAGGAUAGCCCACUAUCGAUUAUGUCACGACCUCGAUUUGCCCUCCGUGAACCAUCGUGACGGCACCUAGACUCUACGACUAGGUAAGCCUAAACUUGCGAAAGUAAAACAAUUUAAAACAGAAAUAAGGCAAUAAAAGUAUUAAAUGUGUCGCUCUGCAUACACCAUAUUUAUAGAGAUCUCAAAACCAACAUCUAAAUCCAAGACCCAGAAACCCACGAAUCACAAGCUAAGAAGUAGUACAUAGCUCUAACUACGAAAUGUAUAAAUAGAACAAAUAAUACAGAAGAGCUAAAUACUAAAACGGGAAUAGAAAGGGACUCCUUUGUCUGCGGACACGACAGAUAUACCUCGAAGUCUCUAUAGCAAUCGCCUCCCUCAGGGAUGGUAGGCCUGAGUAGCGGUACCUAGAUCUGCACAUGAAAAACAUGUGCAGAAAGGGCAUAAGUACACCACAACGGUACUCAGUAAGUGCCAAGCCUAACCUCAGUUGAGUAGUGAUGAGGAAGGUCAGGGUCCUACUGAGAUACAAUAAGAUAUAAAGUAUGACAGGGUAAGAUAAGUAAUUCAGUUGCAACCAACAAUAAAAAUUUUGAUACGAGAUAGUAAGGAAAUGCAAUAACCAAAACAGAGGCUAAAACAUUCAUUAGGAUAAUAACCGGGGAUCUCUCAGUAUCCCGAGGAUCUCUUGGUAUCCUCAUUAUACAUUAGGGAUCUCUUGAUAUCCCGAGGAUCUCUUGGUAUCCUCAUUUUUUAUACUAGGGAUCUCUUGAUAUCCUCAUUUUUAUACUAGGGAUCUCUUGGUAUCCUCAUUAUACAUUAGGGAUCUCUUGGUAUCCCGAGGAUCUCUUGGUAUCCUCACUAUACUAGGGAUCUCUUGGUAUCCCGAGGAUCUCUUGGUAUCCUCAUUUUUAUACUAGGGAUCUCUUGGUAUCCCGAUGAUCUCUUGGUAUCCUCAUUAUAUACUAGUUCAAUAUGUGUGCAGGGGGAAUCUCCCGGAAUAAAAUCCGUAGUCCCAAAGUAAACACACAACAUCAACACGAAGAAUACACAAUUAUAGUCAAGUUUCAUAUCAAGGUAAAACAAGUAUUUCUAGCCUAGCAUGUUGCACAUAAUCCACAUGAGGCAUUUCGAGCAAGUAAAUCAAUUAAGUCAAGUAGACAUGCUUCUCUAGAAUAACAGCAGGCUUAAAUUCGAAGUAGUGUAAACAAGAAAGGAAGAAAAUACAAUUAAGGCUAAUUUUAAUGAAAAUAGGAUUUUCAACAAUUAGCACAAGUACGCGCCCGUCACCUCACGUACAAGGCAUUUCAAUUACCACAAUUCCAAUCAUAAGGGGAGAGUCCCCCACACAAGGUUAGACAAGCCACUUACCUCGAACCGACUCACAAUCAAUCCGAAACCACGUUCUUGCCACGAGUAUUCGACUUCAAAUGGACCAAAUCUACUCAAUUAAAUUUCAUAAUGUAAAUGACACUUCAAUUAACUGAUUCUACAAUUAAAUUCUAAGAUAAUACGCGAAAUUAUGUAAAAUGACCAAAACGGCCCUCAGGCCCACUUCUCGGAAUCCGACAAAACUUACAAAAUUCGACAACCCAUUCCGAUACAAGUUCAACCGUACAAAAAUUAUCGAGUUCCGACAUCUGAUUGACUUUCAAAUCUUAUUUUUUUCAUUUUUGGAAGAUUUGGUAAAAAUAUGAAUUUUUUUCUUCCAUAAAUUCAUGGAUUCAUGAUGUAAAUGAGUAUGGAGUCAUGAUCUAUAAAGGAUUUAUGAUAAAGAACACUUACCUCAUUCAAAUUUGUGAAAAUCCCUCUGAACAUCGCCCAAACCGAGCUCCCCUAACUCUAUUUUUAUCAAAAAUGGCCAAAAUCCCCAUUUUAUAACGUUUUUACGAUUCGGGCGUCACAUGUGGUGCCGGGCGCUGCCUGUGGCGCUGGUUCCGGUAGCCAAAAAUAAUUUUGGCGCCAUGGAUGGCGCCCUGCGCUACCCUGGGCGCUGACGAUGGGAAAUUAUUUUUCCCCGACACGAAAAUGGGCAUAACUCACUCAUACGAUGUCCGAAUUUGACAAUUCUUUCUGCUAUGGCUCCAAAAUUUUGAUACGGAUCUAAUGCUUUAAUCAAAACUGAAUUUGGAGCUCAUUUGCUUAAUGUGAUACUACUUAUUCUUAAAGAACGACAUCGAAACAUUCUUGAAAUGCCCAAGUUAAACUCCAAUAACCAUACAAACUCCACCCGAGGCUCUCGGGACCUCGACCAAAUAUAUCAACAAGUCCUAAAAUAUCAUGCGAACUUACUCGGAGUUUCAAAUCAUGCCAAGCAACAUCAAAACUACAAUUCACUAUUCAAUUCGGACUUAUGAGUUUCAAACUUUUCCUUUUACAAAGCGCGUGCCGAAACGUAUCAAAUGAAUCCGGGAUGACUUCAAAUUUUGCACACAAGUCAUAAAUGACAGAAUAGAGUUGUUCCAAUUUUCAGAAUCAGAUUUUGAUCCCGAUAUCAAAAAGUCAACUCUCGGUUAAACUUUCCAAAAAUCUUUUAUUUCCCUACUUUCGCCAAAAUGCGCUGAAUUGUCCUACGGGCUUCCAAAUCCGAAUAUGCGCAUAAGUCCAAAUCAUCGUAUGAAGCUAUUGGAAUCGUAAAAAAUUUCAUUCCAGGGUCAUCUUCACACUGUUCUGACUACGGUCAACUUUCCAACACUAAGCUCUCAUUUAGGGACUAAGUGUCCCAAAAGUCUCCGAAACUCAAAACCGAACAUCUCGGCAAACCAAAAUAGCAGAAAUAAACUUGGGGAAAGCAAUUAAUAGGGGAUCGAGGCAUAAAUUCUAAAAACGACCGGUCGGGUCAUUACAGGUUAUCCCAACCUUAGAGUCAGUGGCAAUUAAAGAGAAUAUGGCACUGCACCUUCGCGUGCUGGAAAUGUAGGAUGCCUGGUCCAAUGGUAGAGAACCGCCAAGUGCCAUACCCAGCUUCCCCGAGCUACUUCCCAGAGCAAGUGGAAAUUCUAAUGUCCCGAUAAAUUACCCGAAUACCCCACUUGGAUACCCCACCAUCUCAGCUCACUUCACCGGAGCACCUUCUGAGGUUCGCCUCCAGGUAGUUUCGGGAGUGGCCUCCAACAUAUUUACCACACCACCAACCUCGGCCGCAUUACAGCCAACUGUGCCCAGUCUAAGCUUUGAUCUAUCAUCUUUCACUUUCCAAGUACCAUCUUUUCCACCAGAACCUACUCAUUUCACCACCAACUCUUACCCUCAACAACCCGGUACGAGUUUACCGCGGGAUAGGAGAAGGCUACAAAGAACCCCGAGCAAGAGGAAAUUACCCAAAAAAUGAGGAGCAUGGAACAGAGCCUUAAGAAUAUACAAGGCUUAAGCAGAGAAAAGAGCGUAUCCUACACUGAUCUAUGUAUGUUCCCAUAUGUCCAUUUGCCCCUGGGUUUCAAGAUCCCAAAGUUCGAAAAGUAUGACGGGCACGGAGAUGCCAUAGCCCACCUCAAGAGAUAUUAGAACCAAUUAAGAGGGGUAGGCGGAAAAGAAGAGCUCCUAAUGGCUUAUUUCGGAGAGAGUCUAGUUGGCAUUGCAUUUGAGUGGUACAUGGAUCAGGACAUAUCUCAUUGGCACAUUUGGGAUGAUCUGGCUCGAGAUUUUGUCAGGCAGUUUCAGUAUAACAUAGACAUAGCUCAUGACAGGAAUUCUCUGUCGAAUCUCAAGAAGAAGUCAUUGGAAAGUUUCCGAGAAUAUGCUGUUAAAUGGCACAAACAAGCGGCCAGUGUCAAGCCCCCGAUGGAUGAAACGGAAAUGGUUAGUGUUUUUCUACAAGCCCAAGUCUCUCCUGAAUCACCUUAACCUUCUCUAAAGCAUCUUGAACCAAAUCUGUGCCCAGUAACCUGGUCUCACCUGGCUCAAACCAACCCACCGGAGAUCUACACCGCCUGCCAUAUAAAGCCUCAUACGGUGCCAUCUGAAUGCUGGACUGAUAGCUGUUAUUGUAAGCAAACUCCGCCAAUGGAAAGAACUGAUCCCACGACCCCCCAAACUCAAUCACACAUGCAUGGAGCAUAUCCUCAAGAAUCUGAAUAGUGCGCUCGGACUGUCCGUCCGUCUGAGGGUGAAAUGCUGUGCUCAACUCCACCCGAGUACCCAACUCCUGCUAAACGGCCCUCCAAAACCGUGAUGUAAACUGAGUUCCUUUAUCUGAAAUAAUGGAAACUGGUAUACCAUGCAGAUGAACAACCUCCCGGAUAUAAAUCUCUGCCUAUUGUUCCGAAGAAUAAGUAGUACACAUAGGAAUGAAAUGAGCGGACUUGGUCAGCCGAUCCACAAUCACCCAAAUAGCAUCAAACUUCUUCAAAGUCCGUGGGAGUCCAACUACAAAGUCCAUGGUGAUCCACUCCCACUUCCACUCUAGAAUCUCUAUCUGCUGAAGCAACCCACCUGGUCUAUGAUGCUCAUACUUCACCUGCUGACAGUUGAGACACCGAGCUACGAAUCCCACUAUAUCUUUCUUCAUCUGCCUCCACCAGUAGUGCUGCCUCAAAUCCUGAUACAUCUUCGCGGCACCCGGAUGAAUGGAAUACCGCGAGCUAUGGGCCUCAUCUAGAAUCAACUCUUGAAGCCCAUCCACAUUGGGUACACAAACCCGACCUUGCAUCCUCAAUACCCCAUCAUCACCAAUAGUCACAUCCCUAGCAUCUCCGUGCUGAACCUUGUCCUGGAGGACAGACAAAUAAAGGUCAUCAUACUGCCGCUCCCUGAUACGAUCAAAUAAAGAAGACCGAGAAACUACGCAAGCUAGAACCCGACUGGGCUCCGAAAGAUCUAACCUCACAAAUUGGCUAUCUAAGGCCUGAAUAUCCAUCGCCAUAGGCCUCCUGAUGCUGGUAAAUAUGCCAAACUCCCCAAACUCUCUGCCCGACGACUCAAGGUGCCAGCCACCACAUUGGCCUUGCCCGAGUGAUACAAAAUAGUGAUGUCAUAAUCCUUCAGCAGCUCUAACCACCUCAUCUGGCGCAAAUUAAGAUCCUUCUGCUUGAACAGAUGCUGCAAACUAUGAUGAUCGGUAUAAAUCUCAUAAGGUACGCCGUACAAAUAAUGACGCCAAAUCUUUAAGGCGUGAACAAUAGCAGCUAACUCAAGAUCGUGAAUAGGGUAAUUCUUCUCAUGUAUCUUCAACUGUCUGGGUGCGUAGGCAAUCACCCUACCAUCCUACAUCAACACCGCUCCGAGGCCGACCCUCGAGGCAUCACAAUAGACUGUAUAAGACCCCGAACCUAUAGGCAGUAUCAAAAUUGAGGCUGUGGUCAAAACUGUCUUGAGCUUCUGAAAGCUCGCCUCACACUCCUUUGUCCACUGAAAUGGAGCACCCUUCUGGGUCAAUCUAGUCAUAGGGGCUGCAAUCGAUGAAAACCCCUCCACAAAACGACGGUAGUAGCCAGCCAAACCAAGGAAACUGCGGAUCUCGGUAGCUGAUGAUGGCCUGGGCCAACUUUUCACAGCCUCUAUCUUCUUCGGAUCCACCUGAAUACCCUCACUCGAUACUACGUGGCCUAAGAAUGCCACUGAAUCCAACCAAAACUCACAUUUCAAGAACUUUGCAUAUAACCUCUUCUCUCUUAGAGUCUGAAGCACAAUCCUCAAAUGCUGCUCAUGAUCUUUCCGACUCCGGGAAUAUACCAGAAUGUCAUCAAUAAAGACAAUAACAAAAGAGUCAAGAUAUGGCCGGAAUACACUGUGCAUCAGGUGCAUAAAGGCUGCUAGGGCAUUGGUCAGCCCAAAUGACAUAACAAGAAAUGCAUAAUGACCAUACCGAGUCCUGAAAGCAGUCUUCGGGAUAUUUGGCUCCCGAAUAUUCAACUGAUGAUAACCUGAGCGCAAAUCAAUCUUGGAAAACACCCGUGCACCCUGAAGCUGGUCAAAUAGAUUAUCAAUACGAGGCAAAGGAUAACGGUUCUUCACUGUAACUUUGUUCAACUGGUGAUAGUCAAUACACAAACGCAUAGAACCAUCAUUUUUCUUCACAAACAAGACAGGAGCACCCCAAGGUGAAACACUGGGUCGAAUAAAACCCUUAUCAAGAAAUUUAUAUAACCGAUCCUUCAACUCCUUCAACUCAGGAGGAGCCAUACGAUACGGAGGAAUAGAAAUAGGCUGAGUGUCUGGCAAUAGAUCAAUGCCAAAAUCAAUAUCUCUAUCAGGCGGCAUGCCUGGAAGAUCAGCUAGAAACACAAUCGGGAAAGUCCCGUACUACUGGAACUGAAUCAACUGAAGGAGUAUCAAUACUGACGUCUCUCACAUAAGCUAAAUAUGCGUCACACCCCUUCUCAACCAUACGCUGAGCUUUAAGAAAGGAAAUAACUCUACUGGGAGUGUAAUCUAAAGCACCCCUCCACUCAACACACGGUAUACCUGGCAUAGCCAGCGUCACGUUUUUGGCAUGACAAUCAAGAAUAGCAUAAUGGGGUGACAACCAGUCCAUGCCCAAGAUAAUAUCAAAAUCAACCAUGCUGAGUAAUAAUAGAUCGGAUCUGGUCUUAAAACCACUAAGAGCAACCAAACACGACUGAUAAAUGCGGUCCACAGCAAGAGAAUCUCCCACAGGAGUAGAAACAUAAAUAGGGGCACUCAAUGAAUCCCGAGAUAUACCCAAAUGGAGAAUAGUAAGAGGACACAUAAGAAUAAGUAGAGCCUGGAUCGAAUAGAACCGAUGCCUCUCUAUGACAAACUAGUAUAGUACCUAUGAUGACAGAAUCGGAGGCAACAACCUCGGUAUGGGUAGGAAGGGCAUAGUAUCUAGCCUGGCCUCCCCCUCUAGGGAGACCUCUACCUCCCUAACCUCCACCUCUAGCUGGCUGAGCAGGUAGGGUAGCAGCUGGAGCUGUAAUCAUAGCCUGAGAAUUUUGCGGGGCACGCUGUGGCUAAGAAAUCUGUGGAGGUGCACCACUCCCAUGUCUAGGGCAAUCCCUCACCACAUGACAGGUGUCACCACACUCAAAACAAGCCCUGGGAGUACGUAGUAGCUGUGACUGGCUCGGGCCAGGUCUGCUGGACUGACCUCUAAAAGCACCCCGCCAAGGAGGCGCGCUAGAAAUCAGAGGUGCAUAGUAAGACUCCUGAGAUAUGGGAGGAGCUGGAGCACUGCUGGCUACUAGAAGAGCUGAAUGAACGGGGCGACUCAUAUAACCCCUACCAUGGCGACCUGAAGCUGGGGUACGGACACUAGAAUAAUAGCCCGACUCUCGAGACCUCUUGGCCUCCCUCUCCUCUCUCUCUCUGGUAUGCAUACCCUCAAUACUUUUAGCAACGUUCACCACCUGCUGAUAAGAAAUAUCCAUCUCCAACUCGCAAGCCAUGCUAGAUCUAAUGCUGGGAAUAAGGCCCUCAAUAAACUGGUGAACCCUCUCGCGGACAGUAGCAACCAAAGCUGGUGCAUGCCUGGCCAAACUGGUGUAACGAACAACAUAAUCUGAAACCGUCAUAGCACCCUGGCGCAAAUGCUCAAACUCCGCACGCCAUGCAUCCCUAAGGCUUUGAGGAACAUACUCUCUUAGGAACAAAUCCGAAAACUGAGCCCAAGUCAGUGAAGCAGCCGCAUCUGGACUAUCUAACUUAUAGGUGCGCCACCAAUCAUAGGCGGCCCCUCGAAGCUGGAAUGUAGUGAAAGAAACCCCCCUUGAUCCUGAGAUACCCAUAGUGCGGAGAAUACGAUGGAACUUAUCCAGAAUCCCAGAGCAUCAUCUGAUGCUAAACCACUAAAAAUAGGAGGCUUAUACUUCUUGAACCUCUCAAGUCUCCGCUGCUCAUCCUCUAAAACAACUGCCCUGUCCUCGAGUCAAACUGGCACUGCAGACGGUACAAGAAUAGCCUCUGGGAUCUGAUCAACAUGCACUCGCUGCUCGGGAGUGCAGGCUACGGGAGUCUGUGCUCCUCCCCCAGCCCGGGAUGUGGCUGCAACAAGGGGAAGCAACCCUGCCUGAGCCAAAGUGGUGUACAUGCUCAUGAACUGUGCCAGAGUCUCCUGAAGUGCUGGAAUGGUAGUGGUAGUAGGCGUAUCAGGCGCCUAGACUCCGGUUGGAACUGUUGGUGGUACCUCGGUGGCAGCUCGCGCAAGUGCUCUGGUUGCACCAUGUGUGUGUCCUUGGCCUCUACCCCGGCCCCGGCCUUUGACGGCUGCAGUAGGGGGCACGGGUGCCUGAUCAUCUCGGGUAGCACGUAUCCUCACCAUCUGUGAGAGAAUAGAAGAUAGAAGUUUAGGAAUGUGAUGUAAAAAAUCUCGCACGACCGGAAAAUCAAAUGAAGUGGAAUUUUCCUAACGGUUACAUAGCCUCUCGUAGAUAAGUAUAGACAUCUUUGUAACGAUCAGCGAGACUCUAAUAAAUCGGCUUGUGAUCCAUGACUCCUAUGAACCUAGAGCUCUGAUACCAACUUUUCAUGACCCCGGUUCGCCCUCAGUGAACCAUCAUGAUGGCACCUAGUCUCUACGACUAGGUAAGCUUAAACUUGCGAAAGUAAAACAAUUUAAAACAGAAAUAAGGCAAUAAAAGUAUUAAAUGUGCCGCUCGGCAUACACCAUAUUUAUAGAGAUCUUAAAACCAACAUCUAAAUCCAAGACCCAGAAACCAACGAAUCACAAGCUAAGAAGUAGUACAUAGCUCUAACUCUGGAAUGUCUAAAUAGAACAAAUAAUACAGAAGGGAUAAAUACUAAAACGGGAACAGAAAGGGACUCCUUGGUCUGCGGACCCGAUAGAUAUACCUCGAAGUCUCUAUAGCAAUCGCCUCCCUCAGGGAUGGUAGGCCCGAGUAGCGGUACCUGGAUCUGCACAUGAAAAACAUGCGCAGAAAGGGCAUAAGUACACCACAGCAGUACUCAGUAAGUGCCAAGCCUAACCUCGGUUGAGUAGUGACGAGGAAGGUCAGGAUCCUACUGAGAUACAAUAAGAUAUAAAGUAUGACAAGGUAAGAUAAGUAAUUCAGUUGCAACCAGCAAUAAAAAUUUUGAUACGAGAUAGUAAGGAAAUGCAAUAACCAAAACAGAGGCUAAAACAAUCACUAGGAUAAUAAUCGGGGAUCUCUUGGUAUCCUCAUUAUACAUUAGGGAUCUCUUGUUAUCCCGAGGAUCUCUUGGUAUCCUCAUUUUUUUAUACUAGGGAUCUCUUGGUAUCCCGAGGAUCUCUUGGUAUCCUUAUUAUACUAGAGAUCUCUUGGUAUCCCGAUGAUCUCUUGGUAUCCUCAUUAUAUACUUGUUCAAUAUGUGUGCAGGGGGAAUCUCCCGGAAUAAAAUCCGUAGUCGCAAAGUAAACACACAGCAUCAACACGAAGAAUACACAAUUACAGUCAAGUUUCAUAUCAAGGUAAAACAGGUAUUUCAAGCCUAGCAUGUUGCACAUAAUCCAAAUGAGGCAUUUCGAGCAAGUAAAUUUAUUAAGUCAAUUAGACAUGCUUCUCUAGAAUAACAACAGGCUUAAAUUCCAAGUAGUGUAAACAAAAAGGGAAGAAAAUACAAUUAAGGCUAAUUUUAAUGAAAAUAGGAUUUUCAACAAUUAGCACAAGUACGCGCCCGUAACCUCACCUACAAGGCAUUUCAAUUACCACUAUUCCAAUCCUAAGGGGAGAGUCCCCCGCACAAGGUUAGACAAGCCACUUACCUCGAACCGGCUCACAAUCAAUCCGAAACCACGUUCUUGCCAUGAGUAUUCGACUUCCAAUGGCCCAAAUCUACUCAAUUAAAUUUCAUAAUGUAAAUAACACUUCAAUUAACUGAUUCUACAAUUAAAAUCUAAGCUAAUACGCAAAAUUAUGUGAAAUGACCAAAAUGCCCCUCGGGCCCACGUCUCGGAAUCUGACGAAACUUACAAAAUCUGAUAACCCAUUCUGAUACAAGUUCAACCGUACAAAAAUUAUCAAGUUCCGACAUCGUAUUGGCUUUCAAUCGUAUUUUUUUCGUUUUUGGAAGAUUUGGUAAAAAUCUGAUUUUUUUCUUCCAUAAAUUCAUGAUGUAAAUAAGUAUGGAAUCAUGAUCUAUAAAGAAUUUAUGAUAAAGAACACUUACCUCAUUCAAAUUUGUGAAAGUCCCUCUGAAAAUCGCCAAAACAGAGCUCCCCCAACUCUAUUUUUGUCAAAAAUGGCCAAACCCCCCGUUUUAUAACGUUUUACGAUUCGGGCGCCACAGGUGGCUCCGGGCGAUGGUUCCAGUAGCCAAAAAUAAUUUUGGCGCCAUGGAUGGCACCCCGCGCUACCUUGGGCAUUGGCGAUGGGAAAUUAUUUUUCCCCGACACGAAAAUGGGCAUAACUCAGUCAUACGAUGUCCGAAUUUGACGAUUCUUUUGCUAUGGAUCCGAAAUUUCGAUACGGAUCUAAUGCUUCAAUCAAAACUGAAUUUGGAGCUCAUUUGCUUAAUGUGUUACUACUUAUUCUUGAAGAACGACACCGAAACAUUCUUGAAAUGCCCAAGUUAAACUCCAAUGACCAUACAAACUCCACCCGAGGCCCUCGGGACCUCGACCAAAUAUAUCAACAAGUCCUAAAAUGUCAUGCGGAUUUACUCGGAAUUUUAAAUCGUGCCAAGCAACAUCAAAACUACAAUUCACUCCUCAAUUCGGACUUAUGAGUUUCAAACUUUUCCUUUUACAAAGCGCGUGCCGAAACAUAUCAAAUGAAUCCGGGAUGACUUCAAAUUUUGCACACAAGUCAUAAAUGACAUAAUGGAGUUGUUCCAAUUUUCAGAAUCAGAUUCCGACCCCGAUAUCAAAAAGUCAACUCUCGGUCAAACUUUCCAAAAAUCUUCUAUUUCCCUACUUUCGCCAAAAUGCGCUGAAUUAUCCUACGGGCUUCCAAAUCCGAAUAUGCGCAUAAGUCCAAAUCAUCGUAUGAAGCUAUUAGAAUCGUAAAAAAUUUCAUUCCGGGGUCGUCUUCACACUGUUAUGACUAUAGUCAACUUUCCAACACUUAAGCUCUCAUUUAGGGACUAAGUGUCCCAAAAGUCUCCGAAACUCAAAACCGAACGUACCGGCAAACCAAAAUAGCAGAAAUAAACUUGGGUAAAGUAGUUAACAGGGGAUCGAGACGUAAAUUCUAAAAACAACCGGUCGGGUCGUUACAAGUUAUUGCAACCUCAGAGUCAGCGAUAGCUGAAGAGAAUAGGGCACUAUGCCUUCGCGUGCUGGAAAUGUGGGACGCCUGGUCCAAUGGUAGAGAACCGCCAAGUGCCAUACCCAGCUUCCCCGAGCUACUUCCCAGAGCAAGUGGAAAUUCUAAUGUCCCGAUAAAUUACCCGAAUACCCCACUUGGAUACCCCACCAUCUCAACUCACUUCACCGGAGCACCUUCUGAGGUUUACCCCCAGGUAGUUUCGGGAGUGGCCUCCAACAUAUUUACCACACCACCAACCUCGGGCGCAGUACAACCAACUGUGCCCAGGUUAAGCUUUGAUCCAUCAUCUUUCACUUUCCAAGUACCAUCUUUUCCACCAGAACUUACUCAUUUCACCACCGACUCUUACCCUCAAUAACCCGGUACGAGUUUACCGCGGGAUAGGAGAAGGCUACAAAGAACCCCGAGCAAGAGGAAAUUAACCAAAAACUGAGGAGCAUGGAACAGAGCCUUAAGAAUAUAGAAGGCUUAAGUAGAGAAAAGAGCGUAUCCUACGCUGAUCUAUGUAUGUUCCCAUAUGUACAUUUGCCCCUGGGUUUCAAGACCCCAAAGUUCGAAAAGUAUGAUGGGCACGGGGAUGCCAUAGCCUACCUCAAGAGAUAUUGCAACCAAUUAAGAGGGGCAGGCGGAAAAGAAGAGCUCCUAAUAGCUUAUUUCAGAGAGAGUCUAGUUGGCAUUGCAUUUGAGUGGUACAUGGAUCAGGACAUAUCUCAUUGGCACAUUUGGGAUGAUCUGGCUCGAGAUUUUGUCAGACAGUUUCAGUAUAACAUAGACAUAGCUCAUGACAGGAAUUCUCUGUCGAAUCUCAAGAAGAAGUCAUCGAAAAGUUUCCGAGAAUAUGCUGUUAAAUGGCACGAACAAGCGGCUAGUGUCAAGACCCCGAUGGAUGAAAUGGAAAUGGUUAGUGUUUUUCUACAAGCCCAAGAGGUUGGCUACUUUCAGAAUAUAAUGUUUGCAAUGGGGAAACCGUUUGCUGAGGCCAUCAAAAUUGGUGAGAUGGUCGACAAUAGUGUGAAAAUAGGGCGCAUAUUGAGCCAAUCUUCCAUAAGAGCUACAUCCCAGAGGUGGCGAUGGCAUCUUCAAGUCUGAGAACCCCCCGUCCACCUAGAGGUUACUUCCCUCCAAGAACCCCACAACAUUAUUAUCCUCAUCAGGAUGUGGCCUAUGCUAUGGCUCCUCAGCCGUACGCUGUAAUGAACGCCCAGUCAUAUGCUCGGCCACAACAAUAGUUUAACUAAAACCGAGCUCCAUUUCCUAGAAAUAACCCUCCUCACCAAGCUCAGUAAAUCACCGACCUCCACAAAAUAACUUCCCCUACAAUGUCCGUGCUUGGGAGCCACCCAGAAGAACAAACUUUAUGCCUAUUGGUGAAUCAUACUCUAGCCUUUUCCCUAAACUGGUCCAAAUAGGUUUGUUGCAACCCAUACCCCAAACCAGGAAAACCCAGAGUCGCCCUCCUACCGACCCAGUGCUAGAUGUGCUUACCAUUCGGGAGCAGAAAGGCAUGACAAUAAAGACUAUUGGACUCUCAAAAAGGAAAUUGAAAACUUAAUAGAACAAAAGAGAGUAGUGCUGAAAGAUGAAGAGGUCCCCAAAUUGACCAACAACCCAUAAUCGGCCCACAACAACGGGCCAGUUAUUGGGAUAAUUUGUGAAGAUAAAGAGUUUGACCCAGCCCUGAAAGCCAUCAUUGCCAUAGCCGAUGUGGAAAAGAAGCCAAAGGCUGCCGCAAAGCAAGAUAAGGGGGGAGAAGAAGAGUAGCUCCGCUCCUCGAAGUGAAGAAAAGAUUGUGUAAAACAAAACAGGGGCAGUACCCCCUAAAAACACCAUUCUUUAUGUUCCCCAAGCUCACAGGAAAGAACAGUUGGCAUUGAGUCCUCCUAAGAGGUUCGAUCUGAAUAAGGGACCUAAGAUGUAUGUACCCAAAGGGACUUAUGUGGCACGGGGACCAGUGAAUCCACCUAGUCUGAAUGAGCCUGUGGUCAUUAGUCGCGCACAACAAAGGCCCAUGAAAGACCCCACUACAGCCCCCUGGAACUACAAUAGAGAAAUUGUGACGUACAAGGGGAAAGAAAUCAGAGGGGAAGUAAAUGAAACCAACCCAUAUGGGAAAUACCUCAAUCUGGAGGAAGUGAACAAUGCCAAGCAGAAGCGCUUCCCGCUCAAAAAGCCAGUUAGUGCCGAAGAAGCAGAGGAGUUCUUCCGAAAAAUAAAAACUGCUGACUACAAGAUAAUUGACCAACUCUGGAAGUCUACUGCUCAGGUCUUCCUUUUGUCUCUACUGAUAAGCUCAACUAAGCAUCAGAAAGUGUUGAUAAGGACCCUCAACGAAGCUUAUGUUCCAAUUGAAACCAUUGUCGAACAAUUGGAAAGGAUCACAGAAAGAUUCUUCGCAGUCAAUCAGAUUUUGCUUUAGCAAGAAUGACUUGCCUCCAGAAGUGGACGCUCACAACAAAGCCCUCCAUUUGACAGUUAAAUGUGAGGGGUACUAUGUAAAAAGAGUCAUGGUGGAUGGCGGAUGGUGGAUCAGGGGUCGACAUAUGCCUUCUCUCAACUUUGCAAAGAAUGGAGAUUGGGACUGAGAGAAUCAGGCCUAACAAUGUCAGUGUACAUGCCUUUAACGGUAUCAAGAGAGACACCAUAGGCGAGAUUGAUUUGAUCUUGACUAUCGGUCCUGUGGAUUUCGAGGUGACAUUUCAGAUUCUAGACAUGGACACUUCUUAUAAUUUCCUUUUGGGAAGGCCUUGGAUUUACGCGGCAGGGGCCGUACCUUCCACUCUCCACCAGAUGGUGAAAUUUCAAUAUGAAGAUCAGGAAAUUGUGGUUCAUGGAGAAGACGAGCAGUCAAUUUACCGGGACCCAUCAGUCCCAUGUCUCAAAGCCAGGGAAGGUAGCGAGCAUAUAGUUUAUCAAGCCUUCGAGGUGGUGGUCGCAGAUCAAUGAGAUGAGGGAAGCCCAUAUCCUCAGCCCUUUCUGUCAAAUGCGUCCAUCAUGGUCACUACUAAAAUAAUCAAGCAUGGUUAUAAGCCUGGGUAGGGACUCGGGGCAUCAUUGCAAGGUAUAACAGAACCUAUCACUUUACCGACCAGCGAGAAGUUCUUCGGUAUGGGUUUUCACGCCACAGAAGCUUAUGUGACAUGGAAAAUGAACGAAAGAGCAAUGGUUGGGUUUUACCUCAGCCGGUUCCAUAUCUCUGCAAAACAUUCGUCAGGCCUAAGUACAACGAAGAGGAAGAAGAUAAGGCCUUCACGACCGAGGAAAUUGAGGACAUAUGUGGAGCCAUGAGGCAGAUAUUGUAUGAAACUAACAUGGUCCAGCCAGGAGAAGGCUCGAGCACCGCUGAGGUCUGUAUAUGGUGCUUAAUGCCAAGUUGCAAAACUGGAAGGCUACUCCAUUACCAGUCAGGUGAGAACCCGGUAGUUUAGUCUUGCCACCUUUUCUAUAUCACGAGUUAUUCCAGGGUGUAACUCGGAUGUUUCUUUUAGUUUACUGUCUUUAAAUUCCAAUGUAAACCCUAUUAUAUUCAAAGUUCAAUGAAAUGAAAUCAAUAUUUCAUCGUUCAUGAAUCUCUCUUUCUUCUUUUAGAUUUUUUACUUUUUCUUAUUUUUUCUUUUAGUUCUAAUAAUGCGGCUUUAAUAACAUGACAUGCCUGCAGACUUCAUGCCCAAAUCCAAACACGUUGUUUAAUUAUGAAAUAAUGAAUCAAGAACCGGAAUAUGAUGAAGAAGAAGCUUUUAGGGAAAUAAAUCGAGAAUUGGAACAAUUUGAGAAUAAGCCUAAGCCAAAUCUAAACGAAACCAAGCCAGUAAAUUUGGGUAAUUCAGAAGAGGUCCAAGAAACUAUGAUAAGCCUUCACACAGAUGAAAUAAAUAGGGAUGCACUGAUCAAACUCUUGUUUGAAUUCAAAGUUGUGUUUUCUUGGUCAUACGAUGAUAUGCCAGGAUUAAGUGUUGAUCUAGUGGUCCACAAGUUGCCGACUUUCCCCGAUUACCCCCUGCCCAGCAAAAACAAAGGAAGUUCAAAACUGAUAUCAGUGACAAGAUCAAAGAAGAGGUCACAAAACAGUUGAAGGCGGGGGUGAUCUGAGUGGUCCGAUAUACCACAUGGCUGGCUAAUGUGGUCCCAGUGCCAAAGAAAGAUGGGAAAACCCGAGUGUGCGUUGACUAUCGGGAUCUGAACAAAGCAAGUCCUAAGGACAACUUUCCUCUGCCAAACAUCCAUAUCCUCAUUGACAACUGUGCCAAACAUGAGAUGUAGUCUUUCGUGGAUUGUUAUGCUGGAUAUCAUCAGGUCUUGAUGGAUGAAUAAGAUGCGGAAAAGACAGCCUCCACCAAACCCUAGUGCACCUAUUGUUACAGGGUCAUGCUUUUUGGUUUGAAGAACACCGGGGCAAUGUACAUGAGAGCUAUGACCACCAUCUUUCAUGACAUGAUGCACCAAGAAAUUGAGGUGUAUGUGGAUUAUGUGAUCAUUAAUUCCAAGACACAAGAUGACCAUGUUCGGGACCUAAGAAAGUUCUUUGAGCAUCUGCGCAAAUAUGACUUGAAGCUAAAUCCAACGAAGUGUGCAUUUGGAGUUCUAUCGGGCAAACUCUAGAGAUAUAUAGUCAGUCGGAGGGGCAUCGAGCUAGAUCCAACAAAGAUAAAGUCUAUUCGGGAUUUGCCUCCUCCGAGAACCAAGAAAGAGGUUAUGAGCUUGCUGGGAAGAUUGAAUUACAUCAGCCAGUUCAUUGCUCAGUUGACAUCCACAUGUGAACCCAUAUUCAAGCUGUUGAAGAAAGAUGCAUCAAUUAAAUUGACGGAUGAGUGUUAGGAAGCCUUCGAUAAAAUCAAAGAAUAUUUGUCAAAUCCGCCAGUCUUGGUCCCACCCGAACCGGGGAGGCCUUUGUUUUUGUACCUGAUAGUCUUGGAGAAUUCCUUCGGCUAUGUCCUCGGGUAACACGAUGUGACCAAGAAGAAAGAGCAGGCAAUAUACUAUCUGAGCAAGAAGUUUACUAGCUACGAAGCCAAAUACACCCUGUUGGAAAGGACUUGCUGCGCCCUAACUUGGGUCGCUCAGAAGCUUAGGCAUUACUUGUUGGCCAAUACUACUUACCUCAUCACCAGGCUGGACCCUUUGAAGUACAUAUUCCAGAAGCCGAUGCCCAUAAGGAGGUUAGCAAAAUGGCAGAUACUGCUCACUGAAUUUGACAUAGUCUAUGUCACCCGCACGGUACUGAAAGCCCAGGCUUCAACAGAUCACCUAGCUGAAAACCCCGUUGAUGAUGAAUAUCAGCCUUUGAGUACUUACUUCCCGGAUGAGGAGGUGAAUUCAGUUGAGGUAAUUUCAGAAGAUGCCAAUACUUGGAAAAUGUUCUUUGAUGGAGCGGUGAACGCAGAAGGUGUCGGGAUUGGGGCAAUUUUAAUCUCACCCACUGGUCAACACUAUCGAGCCAUAGCUCGGCUUCAGUUUUUAUGCACAAACAACACUACUGAGUAUGAAGCAUGCAUUAUGGGUAUGAAUAUGGCAAUCGACCAAGAUGUGGAAGAAUUGAUAAUCAUGGGAGAUUCGGAUCUGAUCAUCCGACAAGCUCAGGGAGAAUGGGAAACUCGGGAUGUCAAGCUUAUUCCAUACAGGCAACAUGUGGAAGAUCUUAGCAAGCAGUUCAAGUAAGUCAAGUUUAGGUACAUUCCUCGUUUCACAAUGAGUUAGCCGAUGCACUCGCUACUUUAGCCUCGAUGUUUCCAUAUCCAAGCAAUCUCCACAUUGACCCACUGGAAAUCUUAAUCGGGGAAAGGCAUGGUUACUGCAAUAUGGUUGAGGUGGAACCAAAUGUUCAGCCAUGGUAUCAUGAUAUCAAGAGAUUUCUGAAAAUGAAGGAAUAUCCUGAGCAUGCAAAUGGAGACCAAACAAGAACCAUUAGAAGGCUUGCCAGUGGUUUCUUUUUGAGCGGCAAGGUCUUAUAUAAAAGGACUCCAGAUCUCAACUUGUUAAGAUGUGUGGAUGCCGAAGAGGCCGGAGAAUCAUGCAUGAAGUGCACGCAGGAGUGUGUGGACCCCACAUGAAUGGAUACAUCCUGGCAAAGAAAAUCCUUCGAGCAGGCUAUUACUGGAUGACUAUGAAAAAAGAUUGCUUCAGUUUUGUUCUAAAAUGUCAUCAGUGUCAGGUGCACGGUGACCUGAUUCAUGCACCGCCUAUAGAACUACAUCCUAUGUCAGCACCUUGGCCAUUUGUUGCUUGGGGUAUCGAUGUCAUUGGGCCAAUCGAGCCAAAAACAUCAAAUGGGCAUAGAUUCAUAUUGGUUGCCAUUGACUACUUCACAAAAAUGGGUUGAAGUGGUCACUCUUAAAGCCGUCACUAAGAAACGAUAGUAGAUUUCGUGCACUCCAGCAUCAUUUGCCAUUUUGGUAUCCCUACAACCAUCAUUACGGACAAUGCUACGAAUUUGAAUAGUCAUUUGGUGAGGGAGAUAUGCGAACAAUUCAAGAUCACGCAUCAGAACUCUACCCCUUAUUGGCCCAAAGCUAAUGGUGCUGUUAAAGCAGCAAACAAGAAUAUCAAGAAGAUUCUUAGGAAUAUGAUCCAAAGUUCCAAGCAAUGGCAUGAAAUGUUGCCGUUUGCAUUGUUGUGAUAUCGCACAACUGUGCGCACAUUAUUCGGAGCGACCCCUAUCUAUUGGUUUAUGGAACUGAAGCCGUAAUACCUAUAGAAGUUGAAAUUACUUCUCUCUGAAUUAUCGUCGAGGUUGAAGUUAAGGAUAGUGAAUGGGUCAAAACCCAUCUGGAACAGUUAACCCUGAUCGAUGAAAAGCUAAUGGCCGCAAUCUGCCACGGGCAGUUGUACCAACAAAGAAUGGCCCGUGCCUACAACAAGAAAGUGCGGCCUAGGAACUUUGAAGUGGGGCAACUCGUUUUGAGGCGUAUUCUCCCUCACCACCAAGAAGAAAAUGAAAGUUCUCUCCAAACUGGAAGGGUCCAUACAUUAUAGGGAAACUGUUGCCAAAAAGGGUGUUGUACCUGGGAGACAAUGAAGCAGAAUGACCCCAAAACAGCUGUAUAUGCAGACGCAGUCAAAAUGUAUUAUAUUUAAUCUUGCUGCAGCAACAAUAUUAUCUGAUUGAGAUGACGAAGGCCUUCAUUCUCGCUAUCCCAAACACUUCAACUCUUUUGCUAACCCUUUGAGCCGGUUACCUUUCUUUGAUUACCCUAUUUGGAACCUGAAAACGUUUGGAAAAAAAUCAAAACAAAACAAAAAGAAAAAAAAACAAAAACAAAAGUUUACCUGAACUAUGUUCGACUUGAUUCUGAAAGGAUACGUAGGCAGCCUCUCUCUGGGGUUCAUUCACACCAAAACAAAAUUCCAAAUUCCCCCAAAAGUGAAACUGGAGCAGAUGUUAUAAUAAUUUGACGACGGUUCGCCUGAAAGAUUCCAAAGUUGUAAUUCAAUCCAAAUUCUUUUUACCCCAAACCCUGUUCAAGUCCUUCCGAUCAAUCGGUAAAAGAUGUUCAAAAUCGGAGAACGUGGCUACUUGGAUCCGAUGCAAUCAAAAUUAGAGAAACAAAAUGAGAGAGUCUUGUUGGUGAAAACCAACAUGGGCACUGUAAGGCAAUGGUGAGUAGAGAAGCUGAAAAAUGAGAGAGUCUUGUUAGUGAAAACUCGCAAAGAGCACUAUAAGGUGACGAUGAGAAGAGAAAUGAGAGAGGUCCAUUGGCGAAAACCUGCAAAGGGCACCAUUGAUCGAAAAGAGGGAAUUCUUUACAACCAUCAGCACUGAUAUGAGUCGUUGCAAGGUUUCUCAGUUUUGAGAUAUGGAUUAUGAAGGGUCUUUGCAAGAUCGGAUGGUUGCGCAGAUCGGGUAUCCAGUCCAAAAAGCAUGUCAUGCCUAUUGAAGUCUGCAUGCACUCUAGAUAAUUCCUUCUUUCUUUCCCCAAAAAGGGACGCUUCUCGUUAAGUUCAUUAUCCUAUCUUUUGUUUACUUUUCAUUGAGUCUCUUUCGGUCUAAUCCCUAUUCGAAACUGGUACAAAGAAAAGAUAGCAAGAUUGGUUUUAUAGGUUUCUGCUUAACAAAAGCCAAAUCCAAAAAAAGCACCCAGCCUCAGCAGGUGCAUCAAGUCGAUCUCGACUGGCCAUGAUGGCCAAUGAUCCAGGUUCAAAUUUAUUGAAAAGGAAAGAAAUCCAAAGUCAAGUGUCCGUAAAGGUAGAAUAAGGUGAAAAGGACAAAGUCCCACAUGGGUGAACCCUCAUGUGAAAUUUUGGAAAGUCAAGGUCCUUGGUUUUAGAAGAGAAAUCGAUCUCCAGAAAGCCAAUGAGUAGUAGAGGUUUUCAUUAAAAGAGUUGGGCCAAGAUCAAAACAUCAAGGCCACAAAACCAACCACCGUUCCAAACUAACCGUUGUUCUUUGUUUGAAAACAUGAAACAAGUGCAAUCCAAAGCAACCUUGCAAGAAGCAGGUGCAACCAAAAGAAACUGCGCAAGAGCUAGAAACAACUUUGUAGAAACAAUCCAUAAAGGAAAGUUCCCCCAAAAUUCUUUCCCGCAUUUACUCAUUCUAUGAAAAAAAGAAGAAGGGAAAGAAAAAAAAAGAUAAGAAGAAAAAAAUCAAAAAUAUGGUAGCCUAGAGUCUCUACUCCCUAGUUGAAGUUAUUUUAGACAUAGGGUCUCCACUCCCUAGUCGCCUUUCCAACAUAGGGUCUCCACUCCCUAGUUGAGUUUAUUUUUUAGACAUAUGGUCUCCACUCUCUAAUCUCCUUUCCAACAUAGGGUCUCCACUCCCUAGUUGAGUUUAUUUUUAGACAUAGGGUCUCCACCCCCUAGUCGCCUUUUCAACAUAGGGUCUCCACUCCCUAGUUUAUUUUAUUUUUAGAUAUAGGGCUCCACUCCCUAACCUCUUUUUUCCAAGGACACACAAUCCUGAUUUUAUUGCUUUCAAUAAAGAAAUAGUUUUGAUUUUGUUACAAUAACUCACGAAAUUUUUCUAGUGAAAAUUGGGGCAAAAAAGUUCGUUCAUUUGUUUGUGUUGGUGCUUGAACAGAUUUUCAUCGUGAGGCACAAGGUUUGAGAUGACCAAAAGAAGAAGUCUCAACCCAAAUAAAAGAGAAGAAAAAACAAGAAAAGAAGUUGAAAUCAAGGUGCAAAAGCGGAGAAAAGAUGCGGACUACUCAAAAUUUGAUUGAAGUCACAAGCUUCUCAUGUCCCGCCUUGAUCCGAAAAGUUAAAGUGGAAUGAACCAGCAGUUGCAGCUGACGAGCAUCAAGAUUCAGAUCAAAGUCUGCAGGAAGAACCAUCCAAGACUCAAGAUCAAGCUUUAGAAGGUUUAUAGAUAGGAAUCUUGUAACUCGUAGUUGAUAGGUUUAGCUAGUUUAGCUUUUUAUCUUUUAUUUCGGUGUAAUAAGGAGCUCAACAAGCAGAAACAACAGCAACAACAGUAAAAUCACAGUUUACCGGUAGUCCCAACUACCAAAACUUCCAAAACUACACUGACCUGAUUCCUUUAUAGCCAAUGAUAUGUAGGCAACCUCCGAAGCAAGGUUCAGUCAGACUCUAUCAAAAGCUGCUUCUCAUGGAGUUUUCCAAUGGGCAAAAAUCCCUCAUAAUUGCUCAUUUUAUCUUUGUCCAAGAACCCUUCAUGUUUCCGAGCAAAGAGGGGCAACUGUGAGCAUGUAAUUUUUGCCCUAUACAAACUACCCCUAUAAAAUCCCAAGAAAAUAAAUUUUUUCUUAAUUAUUUGCCAUUUUAGGAAUUUUGUAGAAUUUUUAUUAAUUGUUUGCAUUUUUCUGUGCAUGUUUAAUUUUAUUAGAAAAUCAUGAAAAUUCCAAAAUACCAUGCAUUGCAUUUAGAUUUUUUUAAAUAUAUUUUUAGUAUUAAUUAAUUAAAUAUUUGCUUUAUUUAAAGUAAAAAUCACAAAAAAUGGCCCAUUUCUACAUUUUCCCCUUUAUUUUUAAAUUAUUAAUUUUUCUCUUUUAAUUUAAGAUUAAGUAACGUUUAUAAUUUUUAUAAUUAGAUAAUUAUCUAAUUUUACAAUUUAGGUAAUUUAGGAUUUUUAUCUUAGAAAUUCAUUAAUUAAAAAAAAAAGAAAAAAUGAAGAAGAGAAAAACAAUUUGGGUUGAAAUGCAUUUGUCUUAACCCCCAGCCCAAAUACCCGCCGGUCCAGCCCCAAAAAAUGAUACCUGACCCGCCUAUUUGACCCGCCCGUCUCCCUUUACUAUAUAAGAUCCUUAUAUUAUUUCCCCUAAUUCAAACCCUAAAUCUAGAAACAACAAGAACGACACCCACCUGUACAAUUCAUCGUCUUUUUCACUGAGUCAGCCUCAACUCGCCUGAAACUCAGGCGAGUUCACACAAAUGAGCCCCCUCCUCUCCACGUUACUUUAUUCCAACGGAUUUCUGUCAGAGAAGAAGGAAUAUUCCCCCCAAAUUUGCACGAUUUAUGUACUAUGGAUCGAUUUGCUGGAUGAAUGGGAGCCGUGGAUGGAUGUAAAUUGAUCCAUGCCUUCCAUUUGUCCCUAAAAUCGUUCAAAAACGAGGGGAUUUUUCGGAUUUUUGGGCAGAAGCUUCAUGAUUUUUGAGGGUUAUAUACAAGAUGUGUUUUCUUGUUUAAGGGGUAGAAAAAAAAUCAGAGAAAAAUCUAAGAAAAAAAUUUCGAAAUUUGAGGAGAGUAAAAUUUUCUAGGGUUCUUGAAGUUGCCACUUUCUUCAGGCUGUUUCUUUUUAGUUUGCUUCUCUUCAGAAAACACACAAAAAGCACAAAUGGUCUGAGUUCAUUUUCAUUCGAGUUUACUUCAUUUCAAGAGAAAAUUUCAAAAAACAAAAAUCACUAAAACAGAUUUUUAGCAUUUAUUCUUUCUCUUCAUUUAUAGUUCUCAAAAGGAAGCUUGAUUUAAAGUUUAAAUUGGAGUUGAGUUUGGGGUUCGAAAUUUCAGUGUUGAUUUGGUUCAAGUUGGUCGAUUCCUGUUGUCUUGUUGCUGUUCGUUUCAAGGUUUGAGUCGCGGCUUUGUUCGAGUCGGUUUAAAUUGUUGUAAUCACUAAUGUUUUGUUAAUUGAAAGCUUUAAUUUCAGGAUUAUCUCUUUACUCUUUCUUAAUUUGUUUUAGUAUUGAUCGAAAUGUGAUGAUGCUUGAGACUUUGUUAGAUUAGGAGUGUUUAUGAGCUGGUUCAUGAGAAACCAGCGUGUGAUGCAAUUUUUCUUAACUUCUGUUCUUCUUUUUCUUUUUGUUGGUUAAUCCCUUAAAAAGGGCCAGCACAAAAUUAUAUAGUAAUGACUUGUUUGUUUGGUGUUGAAGCGUGAGGGCAUCCAUCUGAAAAUGGUUUAAACAAAUUUAGAUACUCGGGUUAGUGUUUUAAUAUUUUUACGGUGUUGAAGAGUUUGAAUUCAAUUCAAUCAUAUGUGCCUUAAUGCCAAACAAAAUUCGUGUAUAGUCCAUGUAUACAGCACUGUAUAGCAGCUGCUCUAAGUUUGAUUUUGGACGUUUUUGAACCCUUUGUAUUAUGCUUUGUUGAAUGAUUAAGAAUUGAUUGAACUUCCUCCUAACUAUUUCAUGUUGGCCAAAGUUAGAACUUAUGUUGCUUUAAUGGGCUAUGAAUGUGUAUUUGGAUUUUAAUUUGGAUAAAAAUAGUGAAAUAGCUUAUGAUGAUAUGCAGUGAACUACCUUGAUAUUUGUUUCCAGUUAAGGAUUGGGUUUAACCUUAGCUAAUCAGCCUUAAUUUUGUUUGUCUUCAUCUUGUUUUCCGUAAAGCCAAGUUGUUUUCUUUACUGAAUCAAG